AUGUGCAUCUCAAAGAGCAAAGGAGGUAUGAGUUUUAAAGACUUGCACUAUUUUGAUAUGGCUUUACUUGCUAAACAAUGUUGGAGACUUUUGGCAGAGCCAAAUUCUUUAUGUGCAAGAGUUCUAAAGGCAAAAUACUUUGAUGAUGGUGACCUCCUAAAUUGUCCUCUCAAAAAAGGUAGUUCCUAUACGUGGGAAAGUUUGUGGAGUGGUAUUCAAAGUUUCAAGAGGUGCCAUAGUUGGAGAGUAGGGGAUGGCACACAAAUUAGCAUAUGGGAUGAUCCCUGGGUUCCUAGUAGCCCAAGCAGGAAGGUGAUGACCCCUAGAGGUAAUAUAGUCAUUACUAGGGUCUCUGAGUUAAUCAAUAUAGAUGAAAGACAGUGGGAUGAGCAGCUCAUUAGAGAUAUUUUUUGGCCUACUGACGCGCAAAGAAUUCUAAACAUUCCCUUAGCCAUGGGGAUGAUGGAGGAUUUUGUUUCAUGGCACUAUGAAAGAAGUGGAAUUUUUUCAGUCAGAACUGCUUAUCAUAUGGAGUGGGAUUACCAACAUGGACGAAAGUUGAGGCAAACAAAUUUGAUGAUGUCCUCAAGUACUAGUCCAGUUUGGAGGAUUAUUUGAAGACUUCGAGUGCCGACCAAAGUUAAGAUUCACCUAUGGAGGGUGUUGUAUGGUGCGAUUCCUUUUCGUGGCAUCCUUGUGAACAGGCAUAUGAUUACCAGUUCGCAAUAUCCAAUUUGCUCUACAGAUUAUGAAAGUAUACAUCACGCAUUUGUUAAAUGCACACGUGUCCAACUCAUUUGGGAAAACUGGGUAUGGCUGAGACAAUUUUUGGGCUGUGUAGUACAGAGAGGGAAGGUGCUUCGGUCCUUGGUGACCUGCUGCUAA
rnacentral:rRNA from 1 species